AGUGGAUGAUCCUGAAAUACAUUUCUAAGUGUCCGUAGAUGGUCCCAUGGGAUUGGUCAACCAGUUGACCCUUAUGGACAUCUUCAUAGCGCACCACCAUAUUGGCUCUCUCUCCUGUCCUCUUUCUGCCUCCUUGGGUCACAUUCCCAAAGACACUAUUCACAUAUAAGCCUUUGUCUCAGGCUCUGCUUUUGGGGGAAACCCAGGUGAAGACAACCAAGUUCCACUCCUGGCUCUGCUGCUUACUAGCUCUGCCUUUGGGUCAAACCAUUUAGCUUCUCUGCUUCUGUUGCCUCAGCUGAAAAAUGGAUGUCAUAAUGCCACACAAGGUUUGUAAGAUUUGAUGAUAUAAUAUAUGUGAGCCUGUCUGCUUCAGUUCCUGCAUGUAUUAGGCACUAACUAAAGAUUUCUUUCUUUUCCUCCUGCCUGAUUUUGUGAAAGAGCAGGUCCAGAAAGUCUGCUUGGCCUCCUGGCUGGUGAGGCCUUGUGCAGAAAUGUGGCUCAGCGUGAUCUCCACUCUGGUAGGAAGGCCAGACCAGGAGCAAAGGGUGACUAGGCCGGAUGACUCAGGCAUUUGGCAACUGGAGCAUUCUUCUUUGGAGCAUUCUGUAAACAUUGGUCAAUGAAGUCUUGCAACAUGCCUGACAGGUGAUGGGAGAGGAUUUGGGAACAGGAGAUCUGCCUGGCUCGCCCUUAAAUUGUACAUUAUAAGCCACCUCAGCGUACAGGUGCUUCAUCCCUGUGCUCAGCAAGUGCUCAGCAAUAGGCUCUGCAGGGGGAGAAAGGAGGACAAUAUGCACCGGGAACUUCUGGAGCUCACAGCCAGUGGGAGCAGACAGGUCAACGGCAGGUACGGUGGAGUCUGACUGGAGCUAAGAGCAGUGAGGGACAUCCAAGGAGACUUGGAUGGAUGGGGUUCAGGGAGGGCUUCUCGGAG
rnacentral:lncRNA from 1 species